AACGAACGCUGGCGGCAGGCUUAACACAUGCAAGUCGAACGCACCUUUCGGGGUGAGUGGCAGACGGGUGAGUAACGCGUGGGAACGUGCCCUUCAGUUCGGAAUAACCCAGGGAAACUUGGGCUAAGACCGGAUACGUGCGAGAGCAGAAAGAUUUAUCGCUGAAGGAUCGGCCCGCGUCUGAUUAGCUGGUUGGUGAGGUAAUGGCUCACCAAGGCGACGAUCAGUAGCUGGUCUGAGAGGAUGAUCAGCCACAUUGGGACUGAGACACGGCCCAAACUCCUACGGGAGGCAGCAGUGGGGAAUAUUGGACAAUGGGCGAAAGCCCGAUCCAGCAAUAUCGCGUGAGUGAAGAAGGGCAAUGCCGCUUGUAAAGCUCUUUCGUCGAGUGCGCGAUCAUGACAGGACUCGAGGAAGAAGCCCCGGCUAACUCCGUGCCAGCCGCCGCGGUAACAC
rnacentral:rRNA from 1 species